CUUCUCCUUUUCUUUUUCUUAAAAUUGUUUGAUUUUGUGGGUGAGCAGGAACAUGCACCGGAGAACAUGGAGUUGGCACUGGGAAAAUGAAGUAUCUGGAAAAAGAACUCGGGAUGGAGGCGCUAAAGACUAUGAAAAGGAUUAAAGCUGCUUUGGAUCCCAAUGACAUCAUGAAUCCUGGAAAGCUCAUUCCUCCCCAUGUUUGUUUCUAGUUUUGCACAUUUUGUAUCAACUGUUGUAGCGGAAUGAUGAUGCAUUAGGACAACCUUGAGAUUGAUACAAAGAUUUUCUUGAAGUUCCUCUUGUCUUCUUUUCUUAAACCUUAUGUGUAUGUAAAUCCUAAUAGAUCAGACAUUUUGGAAGC